CCAGAGAGCAUCACUUUAUUAGGGCAUGUCUUCCUUUCCACUAGAAAGUAAACCGGUUUUUACUGAUGGCCAAAGAGAGGCAUUUUCACAUGCAGGGCUGCACUUUAUGAUUAUCAGUUUACUACAAAUUGAACAGCAAUGACCAUUUCAUCCGUCUCUUCCCAGGCUGGAACCAGGCAGUCUUCCUCUCCGUUGACACGUCUGCCUCACUUACUAGCAAUGCCCACUGUCCACUCCUGCCCUUGGUAUACAUCAGAAGAGAAGUAAUGAGGGGGACUCCUACAAACCAAUCUGAUGCUCCAUCCGUUCAUUUACGUUGGUAGCUGUCUGCAGAAGAAGCUGCGGACUAGUAUUCAAACAGAUGAGUAAAGAAAACUGGAAGAAUAUAUUCCAAAAUAAUGCCUCUCUGGCUGUUCCAAUUGCUGCCUGAACUUAUCCCCGUGCCGUCUCACGCUGUCUGCCAGUUCUUUCACUGGAAUAUGUUACCCAGUCUCCUUGGAAUCAUUGCCGGGUCUCCUUGGAAUGGAAACUGUGUCCGACUCCAGGGGUGAG